rnacentral:misc_RNA from 1 species
UCUCCGUAGGUGAACCUGCGGAGGGAUCAUUACAGAGUUCAUGCCCUCACGGGUAGAUCUCCCACCCUGUGUUAUUAUACUUUGUUGCUUUGGCAGGCCGCCCGCGUGGGCUACCGGCUCCAGCUGGUAAGUGCCUGCCAGAGGACCCCAAACUCUGAAUAUUUUAUUGUCUGAGUACUAUAUAAUAGUUUAAAACUUUCAACAACGGAUCUCUUGGCUCUC